UAAGGAAUAUUGGACAAUGGUCGCAAGACUGAUCCAGCCAUGCCGCGUGCAGGAAGACGGCCCUAUGGGUUGUAAACUGCUUUUGUACCAGAGAAAACCUAUCUACGUGUAGAUAGCUGAUAGUAUGGUAAGAAUAAGCAUCGGCUAACUUCGUGCCAGCAGCCGCGGUAAGACGAAGGAUGCAAGCGUUAUCCGGAUUCAUUGGGUUUAAAGGGUGCGUAGGCGGGCUUGUAAGUCAGUGGUGAAAUCUCUCAGCUUAACUGAGAAACUGCCAUUGAUACUGCAGGCCUAGAGUAUAGAUGACGUAGGCGGAACAUGCCAUGUAGUGGUGAAAUACUUAGAUAUGUCAUAGAACACCGAUUGCGAAGGCAGCUAACGAAACUAUAACUGACGCUGAGGCACGAAAGUGCGGGGAUCAAACA
rnacentral:rRNA from 1 species